rnacentral:rRNA from 1 species
UACAGAGGGGGCAAGCGUUGCUCGGAAUCACUGGGCGUAAAGGGUGCGUAGGCGGGUCUUUAAGUCAGGGGUGAAAUCCUGGAGCUCAACUCCAGAACUGCCUUUGAUACUGAGGAUCUUGAGUUCGGGAGAGGUGAGUGGAACUGCGAGUGUAGAGGUGAAAAUUCGUAGAUAUUCGCAAGAACACCAGUGGCGAAGGCGGCUCACUGGCCCGAUACUGACGCUGAGGCACGAAAGCGUGGGGAAGCAAACAGG